UACGUAGGGCGCAAGCGUUAUCCGGAAUUAUUGGGCGUAAAGAGCUCGUAGGCGGUGUGUCGCGUCGGCCGUGAAAACCUGCAGCUUAACUGUGGGCUUGCGGUCGAUACGGGCAGACUAGAGUGCGGUAGGGGAGACUGGAAUUCCUGGUGUAGCGGUGAAAUGCGCAGAUAUCAGGAGGAACACCGGUGGCGAAGGCGGGUCUCUGGCCGUAACUGACGCUGAGGAGCGAAAGCAUGGGGAGCGAACAGG
rnacentral:rRNA from 1 species